rfam:Erinaceus europaeus unplaced genomic scaffold scaffold00431, whole genome shotgun sequence
AGAUGUGAGGGCGAUCUGGCUGCGACAUCUGUCACCCCAUUAAUCGCCAGGGUUGAUUCAGCCGAUCUUGCUGGCUAGGCGGGUGUCCCCUUCCUCCCUCACCGCUCCAUGUGCGUCCCUCCAGAAGCUGCACGCUGGGUCAAAGAGGGCAGCCUUCCCCGAAUAGAGAUGGACCGGUCUUCAGUGGAGGGUAUAAGAGUAGCUGCGCUCCCCUGCUAGAACCUCCAAACAAGCUCUCGAGAUGAGGUGAAGAAGGUGAAUGAGAGAGAGAUUCUUUUGAACAUCUGGGUAUUUUGGAACUUAGUAGUGGAGUUGAGGGGAGCAGAGCUCUUUAG